UCUGAAGGUUUCCUGCGAUGAAGGGGACAGCACAGCUCAUGGACUGCUUUCCUUAAACGAUGGUGAUGGAACAGUCAGCUGCUGAGACUUGUUAGGGGGGUUGUAGACUGAACAUACUUUGUCCUCUCAGGAGACUCUUACUCACAGGUUUCUUAAGACACUAGGCACGCAGGGUGCCACACCCACAAGCUUUGGAGGCAGAGCUGCAAUGUUCUGGUUCGAGAAUUUUGCACUGAAGCUCGACCCCAGGAGAUGAAGCAGAAGACGUGUGAGCAUGUGGUCUUCUCCAUUUGUAACUUCCUCAUCUCGGUGGCUCUGCUGUGAGAAGCAGGACAGUGUAUGAGGAUCGAGAGUCACAUGGCUACACGGCAUGAAGAACGUGGUGGUGCUUUCUCCUCCUGUCUGCAGAUGAAUUGGCCCAGAAAAGUCUUCUGUGGACUUGGACCAAUUGGCUGGAGGAGCCUCGUGGUUUCUUCUGGAUUGAACAACCAUUGCUGAUUCAUGUUGGUGUUUUGCUAGUGGACUGGACUGCUGAUUCAUGUUGGUGUUUUGCUAGUGGACUGGACUGCUGACAAUGAAGAUUGGAAUAGCGCCAAAGAACUAUUUCUAAACAGGUCCACAAACCCUGUUUCCUGUUAACCUUUCUUUCCCCUACCUCUGGUGGGUGGUGGGCUAGAUGGGAGUUUGAAGCAUGUA